UUUAUAUUUAUUUAUUUCGAUUUAUAUUUAUUUAUUUCGAUUUUUAUUUAUUUAUUUCAAUUUUUAUUUCGAUUUUUAUUUAUUUAUUUCAAUUUUUAUUCAUUUAUUUCAACUUUUAUUUAUUUAUUUCAAUUUUUAUUUAUUUAUUUCAACUUUUAUUUAUUUCACUUUUUAUUUAUUUCAUUCUUGCACUCUUGUUCCUCUGGAGGUGCAACCAUGCAAUAAUUUUAUCUGUCACGUUUGCUCGUCAAAGUUUCUAACGUCUGAUUGGUUGCUCAGCAAAGCAAGUCUUAACUAGUCGAUCUCAGAUAAUAGAUUGACGCCUGAGACGGUUCUUGUCUCGUGACGUUUCUGGCGCAAUGCAUUGUGGGUUUUCGUGUAUUGCAGAACAACAACAAGCCCGCGACGUGAUCCUUUGCUAGGCAUCCAUUCUGCGUGGUAAUCGUUGAAAAUGGUACACUCGUGUUGUGUGAAAGACUGCCAUUCUAGGUCCCAUGAUAGAAACGAAUGCAAAAAGGAUGGGAUACGUUUUUUUUAGCAUUCCCGCCUGGAAGAGAAGAUAUGGAACUCAGAUGAGUUGACCAAGAGGCUUCGAAUGGUUGCAGCGGUGAGAAGAAAGGCCAUCACUUUUUAUUCAUCAACUGAAAACAUCUCGGUCUGUUCCCGACAUUUCCAUAAAGGAAAACCAGCAUAUGAAAUAAAUGAGGCAGACCCUGACUGGGCACCAUCCUUACGCCUGGACACACAUGUGUUCAGCCCACCAACGUGGACCGCUCUUCUAGGCGAAGUAGGCGUGAGAAAUUGAGGAUGGAGGAAGACGUUGGUGAGCUACAGGAGGAGCCGUCAGCACCCUUUAGAUGCUCCUUCUGACCUUCAUGUGCCUGCGUUUGGACCUGCCUACACUACACAUUGCACACAUAUUCCAUGUUUCCCGUAAGACUGUGUAUUGAGUGUUCAGUGGCAUGGUGCCCUUUUUACAUGCUAACUUGAGACGAGCAAUUGUUUGGCCCAACAGAGAAACACUCUAUAAAACAAUGCCUCACGAGUUUGUUGAGUUCUUCAGACGCAGAGUUGCAGUGAUUAUUGAGUUUUUUGAAAUUUUUACAGAGAAACCAUCAAAUCUUAAGGCGCAUGCGCAAAUGUUUUCUAGUUACAAGCAUAACUACACCAUGAAAUACCUAACUGGAAUCACACAAAAGGGGGGAAUUUGUUUGAUGUCAAAAGGUUGGGGUGGUCGCACAAGUGACAAACAUAUCACCUUGAACAGUGCUUUUUUUAAUAACUUUUUGCCCGGGGACAUUGUCUUGACUGACAGAGGCUUUGAUAUUCAAGAACAUGUGGGUAUGUUAUGUGCAGAGGUCAAACUCCCUGCGUUCACAAAAGGUCGCUGUCAGUUAGCUGGUAGAGAUGUGGAGGAGACUAGGAAGAUAGCACAUUUGAGGAUUCAUGUUGAACGGGUAAUUGGUAAUCUUUGCCAGAAGUAUAAGAUCCAACAGGAACUAUACCUAUUAACUUGGUUCUGCCAUGUGACGGCGAAGAUUGCACAUUGUUGGAUAAGAUUGUUUAUGUAUGCGGUGCCCUUACAAACCUUUGCCCAACUGUUGUGUAGUUUGUACUGUUAUGACAUUUAUUAUGCUAACCGUUUCAGCCUUUCAAACUUAGCUGUUAUUGAUAUUUUGUAUUUUGUUGUGACUUGAUUGUAUUUAAUAAAAAAUAUUAAGUCAUCUUGAA